GCGGACGUCGGCGUAGCGGGUGGGGUCAUCUCCGAACUCGGCGAGCACCCGGGCGCCCAGGACCAGCCCGAGUUCGGGCUGG
rnacentral:sRNA from 1 species